GUUGGGGAGAUAGCUCAGUGGUAGAGCAUUUACCUAACAUGCAUGAGGUCCUGGGUUCAAUCCCCAGCAACA
rnacentral:tRNA from 1 species